GACGAACGCUGGCGGCGUGCCUAAUACAUGCAAGUUGAGCGCUGAAGGUUGGUACUUGUACCGACUGGAUGAGCAGCGGACGGGUGAGUAACACGUAAAGAACCUGCCCUCAGGUCUGGGAUAACCACGAGAAAUCGGGGCUAAUACCGGAUGGGUCAUCGGACCGCAUGGUCCGAGGAUGAAAGGCGCUUCGGCGUCGCCUGGGGAUGGCUUUGCGGUGCAUUAGCUAGUUGGUGGGGUAAUGGCCCACCAAGGCGACGAUGCAUAGCCGACCUGGGAGGGGGAUCGGCCACACUGGGACUGAGACACGGCCCAGACUCCUACGGGAGGCAGCAGUAGGGAAUCUUCCACAAUGGACGAAAGUCUGAUGGAGCAACGCCGCGUGAACGAUGAAGGCCUUCGGGUCGUAAAGUUCUGUUGUAAGGGAAGAACAAGUGCCGCAGGCAAUGGCGGCACCUUGACGGUACCUUGCGAGAAAGCCACGGCUAACUACGUGCCAGCAGCCGCGGUAA
rnacentral:rRNA from 1 species